rnacentral:lncRNA from 1 species
CAGAGGCAGAGAUUGGUGUGAUUCAGCUGCAAGCUAGGGAUGCCAAGAAUUACUGGCAACAGCAAGGAGCUAGGAAGAGCUUUCCAGAAAACCCGACUAAUGAGAAAACCAGGGACCAGAUGCCUGCCUGCUCUAGGCAUUGAGACUGAUCAUGUCAAAUGCCACUGAAUUUUCCUCUUCACUGUUAAACCUGGAAGUUUCUUACUGCCAACCAUGUAUGUAUGUAUUUAAAAAAACUCACAGCUGG